UCUCCACUUGUUCCUAACCCACUGAGAAAUCGGCUCAUUAUUGACUCAGAGGGAUGAACGCCAGAUCCUGACUCACCGGUAACCACUUCCUGCAGAAAUCCUCCAGCCCUGUUAGAAAUGCCUCAGCCAGGGGGACUCAUCUCCUCAAACCUGGGGGACCGAGACCUAUGAGAGGUCACAGCAUGAGCCAGGACAUCGGAGGUACCCAGACAUUGUUAUGAAACUCCGCAUGUGCCCCUGGUGGACGCUGCUGGACCCAGCAUGCACACUUCUCGGCUAAGAGUCACCCUGGAUGAACCACCAUUGCCAGCGGGGAGCAUGUUGCAGCUUUCCCACGCAGUGGAUGAGAACGAAGGUUACGACCAUUGUGUGGGAGGCGUCUGUGUAGCAAUUGCUGGAAUCACUUGUGGCAUUGUAGAAAGACUGAGCGUGGGAAAGAAGACGCAUUCUGAAGUCACCCCGAUUUAUGUUAAAUUAUCACCUUGACUACUGCUAUAGAACGAAUGUUUAUGUCCCCCACCCAAAUUCGUAUGCUAAGACCUAAUAGCCAAUAAGAUAGUAUUAAUAGAUGGGGCCUUUGGGAGGUGAGUGGCUCAUGAGGGCAGAGUCCUCAAAACCAGAUAAGUGCCCGAAUAAAAGGGGCCCCAGAGAGAUCCCUUGCACCGUCUACCAUGUGAAGUGUAGAACACAGCGAGAAGGCCACCUAUGAGCCAGAACGUGGGCCCUCACCAGAACCCAGUUGUGCUGGCACCCUGAUCCUGGACUUCCAGCCUCCAAAAUGACGACAAAGAAGUUUGUUUUUCCUGAGCCAUCCACUUCAAAGUAUUCUGUCAUAGCUCCCCAAAUAGACUAAGACAUCUACUUAACCUUGGUCAAACGUUUAACCUUGGAGUCCACGCCUCUGAAAUGGUGACAAUAACACUGUGUAUUUCCUACUUUAUGAUCAGGAUUAAUAAAUAAUGCAGAGGAUAAAGCAAGCAAACAAAAAAACUUCCAGAAGAAUCACAGAGUUUUAGACCUAGAAAAAAACUGAAAAAUCAUCCAUUCCACUCUCCUCAUUUUACAGAUGAGGGCAUCGAGCCUCAGAGAAAUGAAACUUGCCCAAGACCACACAGCAACACCUCGGCAUCUGCCUGCCUACUCCUGAGUUGGGCCCUGUGGUCAUGAAUUCUUCUGUCAAAUAACUAUUCCUAAAAACAAGCAUGCAUGACUAACCAUGAGACAAUUGCAGUGAUGCAAGUGUAUGUGACUUAUCUCAUCUACCCAGUGUGACAGCUUGACACUCAAGGGGGAGAUUUUCACCAUCGAUUCCCAGAACAAAGAAUUUAGAGUAAUGCUGGAGGCUGAGGCAGGAGAAUGGCGUGAACCCGGGAGGCAGAGCUUGCCAUGAGCUGAGAUAGCGCCACUGCACUCCAGCCUGGGCGACUGAGGGAGACUCCAUCCCCCCCAAAAAAAAGAAUUUAGAGUAAUGAACAUUUAUGUAUGGGUGGCCCUGUGAUGUCUCUGAUAACAUCCCUUGUUUGGCCAAAUUCUCGGACUCUAAAAGACAGUAUUGGCUCUGCAGGCUUUCUGGGCUCAGCGAACCUGCAAUACCAAAGUUCCACAUUUUGGGGAGUACUACCUCAUCUGUGUAAGUACAGUUCUGAAAAUUAUUGUAAAAUGUGUUCUACAAAUAAUGGGGU
rnacentral:lncRNA from 10 species